rnacentral:lncRNA from 13 species
AACAUGAAAGCACUCACCAGCAGUUGAGAUGAUGCUGGUUCCAUGCUUCUUGAACAGGCUGUAGAACUAGUAGAUACUAUCGCUGUGGCUGGCUGAGUUCUCAUCUCUCUGCAACCAAGGCUAACUGGUUCUUAGGUUACCUUGAUGCCACACACCGAGAGUCCUUUCUGGAUUUAGUGAUUGGUGCUGCUUAUUUCCACCUUCUCUGAGGAUGGAGCCUCAGAAUAGAGACCAGGUUGAAAAAUCAGUCUUUUACUUAGAACUCUGAAAACAGGUACUACAUCUUAUCCAUCUACAACCCUGUGACCCAGAAGCCAUUAAUUCGACAUUACCAACAUACCUCCACACGAGGACUUCAUAAUCUUCAAUGUGAGAAUUGAAAAAAAAAAAAGACUUAAGCAACUUUGGUGGGGAGGAGAACGAUAACCUAAAUUUUAACUGUCAGAAAAUCUCUAACAGAAAGAUCCCAAUAAUUGCCACUUGGGGGAGAUGGAAGUUCAUGAAUUGCUCUGCUAAUCCCUGAGGCAACAGAGCACUUUAACUGGUUUAUUUAUUCAAAGCUGGAAUUUGGACGUGUGAACCAUCAAGCUUAGGGAAAUUCCUGGAUGAGGAACACAGCCCUGGGAGAAACCUACCAAAGAUGGAAUUAGCACCUUGGCGAACUGCCUUCAGCACAAAGAACUUUCUUUCCUUGUGCGUCUUAAGAAUUUACUUCAGUUCCCUUUUGUCUGAAGCAGAGGAGGCCAAGUUAAACCGUGAAGAAGAGUGCUUAUUUGUCACUACCUGCAAACACAUGAUCCUGUCUAGGAUGCCACAUGUUUCAUUAUCAUAUCUCCUUGGGCUCUUCUGGGCCCUGACAAUUUCUCAGACUUUUCUUCUUUGUGAUGACCUUGACAGCUUUGAAGAGUGCUGGUCAGAACUAAGAAUUGAUUCAGCAUACGGCUUGGCCUAUGGGACAAACACCUUCAUCCCAGCAUCCCAGUAUCCCAGCAUUCCAGCAUUCAAGCUCCAGCUGGGGCUCAGAAAGAGCAGAAGGAUAUAAGGUCCCUGCCUCAGUGUCUCUGUCCUUACUUUCAGUGGAUCUUUUCUCCAUCUUAUUUUUCCUUCUCUUGCCACAGGUAAAACUAAUAUGGUAUACUGUUUGGUUGUUCUUGUGGUUUUUUUAAGUAAGCUUUUAAAUUUUUAAUAAUUUUAGGUUAAUGAAAAAGUUACAAAGAGAAUACAGAGAGAUCCUGUAUACCUUCACUUGACUAUCCUUCAUUUACAUUAUGUGAUACACUGGUCAUGUUAAGAUACCAACUUCAGUACAUUACAUUAAAAACUCCAUACUUUAUUUGGAUUUCUCCAGUUUUUCCACAAAUGCCCUCUUUUCUUUCUUUCUUCUUUUUUUUGUGAGACAGGGCUAUCAAUUUGUCUCCCAGGCUGAAGUGCAAUAGCACAAUCACAGCUCACUGCAGCGUCUACCUCCUCGGCUCAAGCCAUCCUCCCACCUCAGCCUCUCCAGUAGCUGGGACUACAGGCACAUGCCACCAUGCCCAGCUAAUUUUUCUAUUUUUUGUAUAGAUGGAGUGCUGGGAUUACAGACAUGAGCCACCAUGCCGAGCACACAAAUGUCCUUUUUAUGUUCCAAUAUCCCAUCAAAGGUACCACACUGCAUUUGGUUAUCAUGUCUCUUUAGGCUCCCCCAAGAUGUGAAAGUUUCUUUGUCUUCUUUUCAUUUUCAGGACUUUUACAGUUUUGAGGAGGACUGGUCGGGUAUUUUGUAGUUUCCCUCCAAUGUAGGUUAAUCUGUUGUUUUCACAUGAUUAAACUGAGGAUAUGGGUUUCAGC